rnacentral:rRNA from 1 species
UACGUAGGGUGCGAGCGUUGUCCGGAAUUACUGGGCGUAAAGAGCUCGUAGGUGGUUUGUCGCGUUGUUCGUGAAAACUCACAGCUUAACUGUGGGCGUGCGGGCGAUACGGGCAGACUGGAGUACUGCAGGGGAGACUGGAAUUCCUGGUGUAGCGGUGAAAUGCGCAGAUAUCAGGAGGAACACCGGUGGCGAAGGCGGGUCUCUGGGCCGAUACUGACGCUGAGGAGCGAAAGCAUGGGUAGCGAACAGG